GGGGUUUCCAUCUGCCAAACUGAGGGGAAAAAAGAACUUUUGGCUUACUCAUAUCAUUCUUCAUUCUUCCUUGAUUGGCACUAUAACCUGUGAUUAUGAGCUCUCCAGGGUCACGCUCCAUCAAGAGCUCUCUAAACCUCCUGGCUCUGCUUUUUUGUAUCUCUACGGACUGACCCAUCCCCUCUCCAUCACCUGAGCUCUCCUGCCCUCUGACUUCUGGUCGGAUCCAGCCAAUAUGAGGCGCCAACAGGAAGUCUGAGACUGAGAGAAGACAGGUGGUACAAGAUUGAGCAGCAACUUGUUCUCCAACUCAAAGAGAAUAUCUCAAUGUGUUCCUGAACACUGGAUUUCUAGAAGCUUCGUUAAGAUGAUGGUCUCCUGAAAAAUUUAUCUCCACUUACUGGCUCACAAGUGUCACUGUUACAUAUCUUCUUAAGGCAUAAAAAACACUUAACUAACAAAAAUACUAACCCAAAAAGAUAUAUGCACCCUUAUGUUUAUUGCAGCGUUAUUUACAAUGGCUAAAAUAUGGAAGCAGCCCAAGUGUCCAUCAAUAGACAAAUGGAUUAGGAAGAUG